AACGCUGGCGGCGUGCUUAACACAUGCAAGUCGCACGAGAAAGCCUUGGCUUGCCAGGGCGAGUAAAGUGGCGCACGGGUGAGUAACGCGUGGGUAAUCUACCCCUGAAUUUGGGAUAACAGCUCGAAAGGGCUGCUAAUACCGGAUAACAUCAUAAUUUCUUCGGAGGUUUUGAUCAAAGGUGGCCUCUACAUGUAAGCUAUUGUUUGGGGAUGAGCCCGCGUACCAUUAGCUAGUUGGUGGGGUAAUGGCCUACCAAGGCUACGAUGGUUAGCUGGUCUGAGAGGAUGAUCAGCCACACUGGAACUGACACACGGUCCAGACUCCUACGGGAGGCAGCAGUGAGGAAUUUUGCGCAAUGGGGGAAACCCUGACGCAGCAACGCCGCGUGAGUGAUGAAGGCCUUCGGGUCGUAA
rnacentral:rRNA from 1 species